CCUACGGGAGGCAGCAGUGAGGAAUAUUGGUCAAUGGGCGCGAGCCUGAACCAGCCAAGUCGCGUGAGGGAAGACGGUCCUAUGGAUUGUAAACCUCUUUUGUCGGGGAGCAAAAGACGCCACGCGUGGCGUUCCGAGAGUACCCGAAGAAAAAGCAUCGGCUAACUCCGUGCCAGCAGCCGCGGUAAUACGGAGGAUGCGAGCGUUAUCCGGAUUUAUUGGGUUUAAGGGGUGCGCAGGCGGAAGAUCAAGUCAGAGGGAAAAUUGUGGGGCUCAACCUCUUCGAGCCGUUGAAACUGGUUUUCUUGAGUGAGCGAGAAGUAUGCGGAAUGCGUGGUGUAGCGGUGAAAUGCAUAGAUAUCACGCAGAACUCCGAUUGCGAAGGCAGCAUACCGGCGCUCAACUGACGCUCAUGCACGAAAGUGUGGGUAUCGAACAGGAUUAGAUACCCUUGUAGUC
rnacentral:rRNA from 1 species